rnacentral:misc_RNA from 1 species
GUUCCUUGUAAUUGCGGGACCCCAUGCCCGGAAAAUGGUCGGCAUAUGGCUUUUUACAUCUGCUGCUUGGGUCUUCAGUAUGGUUGUGCUUGGUGGUAUCACACGGUUGACACGUUCUGGUCUAUCAAUGACGGACUGGAAAUUCACUGGGAGCCUCCCUCCUCUAACAGAUGAAGAUUGGUUGGUUGAAUUUGAGAAGUACAAGCAAUCCCCAGAAUACAAACGUGUGAACAAGGGGAUGAACAUCGAGGAUUUCAAGUUCAUAUAUUGGAUGGAAUAUGCACACAGAAUGUGGGGAAGGGCCCUUGGUAUAAUGUUUGCACUCCCAUUCUCAUAUUUUCUCCGUAAGGGAUACAUAACAGUAAGACUUGGAUUUAGACUCUCUGGACUCUUUGCUCUUGGUGCUGGACAGGGUCUCAUAGGUUGGUGGAUGGUGAAGAGUGGUUUAGAGGAGCCUGCAUCUGAGUAUGUUGAACCAAGAGUAAGCCCCUACCGUCUUGCAGCUCAUCUUACCUCUGC